UCAGCACAGAGAGCAUCUGCUGCGAUUUCGAUGCAUCCAACCCCUCCCAUGGCCGCCUUUCCUUCCGAGUCCGGCAUCACAAAGCCCCAAGCACCUCUCUUAUUUGCCACACUGAAAGCCCCAUCCAAACACCUUCCGAUGGAGGAUCCCAUCUUUUAUCCUGACUUUCUGACUCCGACACAGCAUUCCCCAUAAUCUCCAUGUCAGUGGAAUCUCAAUUUCUCUCCAGCAUUCGCUUUGUUCCUGUCAUCCCACGAUGACCAAAGCAGGCCAAUAAUCGUCAGCCGCACUGCUCCUCCCGUCGGCCGUCGCCGUUCCUCCGUGAGGUCGCUCCAUCCUCCCGUCGUCGGCGCCAUCGCCCCCAGGAGAGUUCGGCUUGCCUUCUGCUCAGGAUCUUCCUCAGCACACCCUCAAUUUCCAUUUUCUCCCGUGCGCCUGACCCAUCUCCCGUGUGCCUCCUCACAGACGACGACAGCGCCCACGCCUCCUCCCUCUCGUCACCGGCUGCGACGCCAGCCGCCUCUUGAAGCCCCCAGGUGGAGUUCCAGAAAGAUUAGUCGUAGCUGACUCCUGGUCCCUACCUCGACCUGAUCUGAUAGGGCUGCCACCAUGGUGGAUGGGUUGCUCGAUUCUGAUCGUUGAUUGUUUGUUGGUUAGAUAUAAGAUUAAUCUAAACACCAUGCAACAUGCGAAUAGGAGUGUUCCUUUAUUUGCUUGCAGUUUUGGAGUAUAAUUUUCUCGAUUCUUCUAAUUUAAUUGGUGAAUCAGCAAAUCUGCCCCCUAUAGACUGUGUACAGGCCCCUAUUUGUAAAAUAACUAAACAACACAUAAUUGGCACUGCAAAACAGUUGACAGACACAAACUGCUGAAUUGAAAGUGGUGAAGCAUUGAAGCCAUAUAUAUUACUUUACACUUGCUGAUCCCUGGUGAUUUGUUUACUGAUUUAUGCUCAUUCACACUGCUUUUCAGGCAGACCACUGUUUGUUGGUUCCUCAAUUCUUCAUCUAGCACUUCGGUUGGCAGUUUCAGUUGUUACUUAGUACUUACCACUUACUUCCUGAGGUAUUAUCGUAAAUGAAUUGUGGUUACAAAACACACUAUGCUUAUGAUUUGUAUUCUUUGAUUCCAUUUUACCUUUUCUAGACAAAUUAGUGUAGCUAGCUGCCACUAUAUGUCAUACUGAUUUAUAAACCAGCUUAUAUGUAGUUGUAUGUACAUUUUUCCGCUAAACAUUAAAUUGAUCUCAUCUUAGGUUCCUCGUAAAUCCUAAAUUUUGAGUUUUUCUUCUCUGUGGCCCUUCAAAUCUCUCACUGAUUGGAUGGGAUUUAUUUUGCUAAAUUGCAGUUUAAAUCCCUGAUGACCUGCUACAUAUGCCCAUCCUUGACUGCAGAGCUCGGCGAGCGCGCGGGCGUGUGCCUUGAGCGGAUGUAUUGUGACGCACGGGAGGCAGCAAUGGUGUUCACCAUAAUGCACCUUGCAUUUUUUUUCUUGCACUUCUGCUGAUUUGCUAUUCCAAUAUUUCUUGACAAGAAAAAAUAUCCAGUAUCAUACCUGAAACAGAAUUAUUUGGACUUUAUUGCGAUGUGCUAAUCUGAAAUCUUGAUAUGUCUCAAGUCGGUUGGGUUUUACACAUCAUCAAAUUACUGAUUUCAGUAUUAUCUACAUAUGUGGAGAGCGAGGCGAAGAAUGUGGAAGGCCAUCAGAGAUGUUGCCAAGUGAAAUGACAUGGCAUCUGCAAAGUUGUGACUAGUUUAAUCAUACAUGCUUUAUUUCAGUUUAUCAGCUCCUAACACAUCUCUCAUUCAAUGUGUACCUGUACUUCUAUAUGCUCAGUCCUUCACAUAUCACAAAUCUGCUGGAGAGGGAUUGCGUCUGAAAAAUAAUUGUUUUGUGCAGCAAGUUGGACGGCAAGACUGCUUGCUGGAGAUUGAACAUGUGCUGCAGUUGCUUGCUCGCUGGAGAUCGCCCAUUUCUGGAGCCUAGAGUUGCUUGCUUGCUUGCUGGAGAUCGCGCGUGCAGAUUUUUUUUAUGGAGAACAAAGUUUGGUGCACAGAUAUUCGUUGGCCAAUCUGAAACAAUCCUUUUCUGUACAUAAAUCAAUCAGCUGUAUGAGGGCCACAAGAACAUGGAGUACAGACGGGAUUAGUUUGCUUUCGAUCAUAAAUACUCAUAUGUUUACAACAUCGAUGAAUGAAUGGAGCAUGUGCUUGCAGUA